AGGUUUUCCUCCAGAAGACGUAGGAAUCUUCAAACUUGGGUAUUGGCUUGUAACAGUGCUAUACUGCAGUUGAUUGUUAACCCAUUAUUCCCGGUUGUCAAAAUCUGAGAGUAAUUAAACUCUGGUGAUAUCUGGCAACGGCCAGUCAGUGGCCACGGGAAUCCGCUGCGUGAAGCCAAAAGAGCAGUUUGCUAUGACGUGUCAACACGUGACCCGGUGUGACCUGGCGGGAACAAAUUAAAGAACAAUGAUUGGCUUCUGUGAAUUCCUUGUGUGAAGAUGAUCUAAAAUGUUGGCUAACUCGGCAUGUAUACUGUAGAAUCCAUGGAGAAAUUCUCUUAAAAGGGAACUCAGGAGCUCCCUUAGUUCCUCAAAGGAUGAAACUGCACAGAUGGUCUGAUUCAGGAAAAAAGACUGAAGAAUGCACAUUAGGAAUUUGUGCUACAAAUUCAAGAAUUCGUGUUUAUGCAUUUCCUGGCAAUUAAGGAAUCAAAACUUUGGGAUUUUGGCUGGUAGUAAAAGGCACACUGCAAGACAUCGGAUUGAUUAUAGGACAAAGAUUUGUUUCCCAGCUGUAUUUCUUCUUUCUUGAUGGUGCUUUUUCUUUAGGAUGUAGGAACCUUCAAAAACUUCUGGUUUUGUAAAGACUGAUGUACUGCAAGUUCUGAUUUUAGGGCAAAGAUUGGUCCAAUCUCGGUUCCCUGUAGUCUGCUUCAGGAAUUUUGGAUUCUAAUAAUGCACUGCAAGUUGGCUGAUUGGUUUUAGGACAAAUAUCCCAAUAUGGGGUGCUGAAGAUGAACUGUAAUGUGGGGAAAAGUCGGCAGAUUUGAAGGGAUAUUUGAUUCUAAUAAUGGACUGGAAAUUGGCCACUUGAUUUUAAGGACAAAUAACGAUUUGUUUUGCCGUGAUUUCUGUUUCUGGGGUGAAGGCUGUGAUAUCUACAUUGCUCUCUAAACAGCAAAGGCCGGAGGGAAUAAGGCACUUUUUAUUGGAACACCAUUACUGCAGCUGGUUUACAAGAGGUAAAAGUAGCAGGUAAGUAGCAUCAAGUCGAGCAGGAAACCUUCUGGGGACUGUCCUGUGUUCAGUGGUUGGUUGGAGAAAAUUAAGGACUAGAAUUAAUGCCUAUACAUCAUUUAGCUCUUGACAUUAAAUUAUUCAGAAUUUUUUUUUUUUUUUUUUUUUUUUUUUUUUUUUUUUUUUUAUGCAAAUUAACAAAUGUAAAUUGUCAUUUAUUUUAAUUGUGAAAAGUUAAACCUCACAGGAUGAGCAGUUCUUUGCAUCACUCGGUUCAAAGUCCAGGAAAGUCCUUCAUUUUCAGGUGGAAGCUGAUUUAGUGAAUGUUCUAGUUCUUAGGGGUAACUUUUUUAACAAUUGUUAUAGGUCUUGGGUCCUUUCUGUCUUGUUUUUAGGAAAUAAUGUAAUACAGGUCCUUAAAGUCGCUGAUGUAGAUUGAUAUAAUUGAAUGCCUAAUAAUUUACUUGAUUUUAGAAACUUCAAAAUUAGUCAGAUUUAAUACCGACCUUUUCAGGAAGGAUUAAUUUUCUUUGAAGUUUUCAAUAGAUAUUAAUUUUAGUGCAUGCUUCUGCGUGUUGUACCCCCUUUUCUUGGCGAGAAAUAAAAUGGAAAAUAAAAA
rnacentral:lncRNA from 1 species